rnacentral:tRNA from 1 species
GCUCCCCUGCUAAGGGAGUAUGGGGUGUAGAGCCUCAUCGAGGGUUCGAAUCCCUCCGUUUCCG